UUUUUCAUUGAGACCGUACGCACUGUACAGUGUACGGUUUUAUUUUUUGUCCGUCUCCUCGCCACGCGACAAAUUUUGAUUAUUUUAUUUUUCGCUCGCCCGAUCCACGCGUUUACCUUGGUUGAACAUACAAUUUUGAAAAAUUUAGACAAGAGCAAACUUGCUACUAAAAAAAAAUGGGAUGGCGAUCGGGUGAAAAUUUGUACGAUUGGCUACUGGUCACCUCCAGGCUCUACAACGUUCCCACGACCGGUCCGAGCAUCGAUGGGCGAGUCUGCUCGGACACGUGACGGCCUUUCCCAGCCGCCGAGGCCAGACCGAAACGGCCGACGGCUACAAAUAGCGGCGACUGGUGCUCGAUGUUGUGCGUUUUGACGGUCGAUGGUGACGACUGACCCGGCAGAAACGGAUCGAGUUUUGGAGCCUGCGCAAUCGGCGGUCACCACGAUGGCACGAUGGACAAGCGACCCUGUCGACGUGGGAUUACCACAUGGCAAGGGUCAAUCGUCAGCGGAGUGCGGACCACGGCGCAAUUCACCGUUCAGUGGUUCACCGGUGACCUCGAAUGUCGGCAAUUUUCGCCCUGGCGUUGUCGUUUCCGAGGGUCCGGCGGCGCUGACUUCCGUGAUCCUAGUGGCUAACACACAUCUCUACCACUCACUCCGCUGCCGCCGUUGUGAGUCGCCAUCACUGGCUCGAGAUCGUUGUCCGUGGCUUCACGCGAGUACGCGACCGUACUGCCGCCGGACGCUCACCGAGCAGCCAGAGGGUCUCACGCGUCAACGUCGAUCCAGUGCAAUACGUCUGUGAAAUCUGUCGCGCCGUGGGUGAUCGGUGUCGGAGAAUGUGUUCAGGUACCAUCGACAGGCUCCAACUCCGAGAACGGCGAUCCGACUGGCCAACGAAAAUAUUGACUCCUCGACUGUAGCUCAGUAGAUUUAAAAACGUCGCCGUCUUCAUCAUCAUCAGUCUCAGAAUCGUUGCCGGUCUCAUCAUCAUCGUUCUGGACGAGUAAAUACUGUUCUUGCUGACUAAGCGAAUAGGUCUCUGCGAUUGAGACCCAUUUUUCAGAGUCAUCCGAGCUUAUCUAAUCAAAAACCAAUUACGUUGCAUAAUAUAUUGUAAAUCGUAACUACAAGAAAAAUGUACUUUUUCAAUAGAAACAUUUGACCCUGCUUCAUGUUGAGUAUUGUGGUUCCGUUUUCCGUUCUCUCCAAUGUUUCCAAUUUCCGAUUCGUUUGUAUUUGCCAAUUUCUCAAGCCGGUAUUUUUUCUCCAUAUUGUUCCCACGAGUUGGGAUGAAAUAAAAAGUCGCACUGCGGCAGUGCAGCGUAACGCAGUGAAGGCAAAUACUGUGAGGGGUGCCAAGUUCCUACAGGUUCCAAGUGGACACAAACUGACCUCUGUGUCAAGUACUCCCCCUUCACGAGUUUGGGGAUUGAGGGUUUUUUUUUAGGGUUAUCUUCUCUUUAGGGCAUUAGCUCAAAAGCAAACGCUUUCCUCGGUGAAAAAGGCCUCCUAUAAACAAAUAAUUGGAAAGACGUAAGUAACAUUUGCUUCUAACAAAAAUACAAAUUUCUAGCAUAUUACCCAUUGACUAUUGGUCAUGUAUAUCACUUGGUAAUAUAAUAUAAUCAAUGUCUUAAAAAAUUUGUUUUUACAUUUCUGUUUUGCUUAGGCUUCUGAAAUGAUUGAAUUCUUUAAUAAAUGGUUUGACUUAUUUAAUACUCAACAUAAAUAUGAUAAAGGGUUUUGGUUUAGAUUAUGAAAGUCAAGAACAAAUUAUAAAUAUGAUGACAACAUUUAUUAAAAAUAUGAGAAUUCAUGACAAGAUGACACUGCUUCCUUUUCAAAAAGGAAUAAUAAUAUCAAAUACAUCACUCUUGAAUUUGUAUAAAGAUGUUAAACGUAUAUUUCCUUAUAUUCUUACUAACUAAACCAAGAUAUUCUGGAAAAUAUGCUUAGUUAUCUAAAGAGGAUGGCUGGAUUAGCAACUCACAUUUAAAAUUUUCUUUUAUGAACAUUAUUAUUUAGUCUCCGAUGGAAUAUUUUGGAGAAACAUUAAAAUUUUGUUUUCAUAAAUAUAGAAACUGUACUAGCAUAUAAAUUGUUUGGUGACAAUGGGUGUUUGCCAAGUCAAAAACUUAAGUGGCUAUAUUGUAUGCUAAAAAUUUUCAACAAAUAUAUCAGUUCAGGAAGAAACUACGGCUUUGUUAAAAGAUUUUGAACUUGAAAUAAAUAUAGAAGAUGUGUUUGACAGCGUGGAAUUGGAAUGCGUAGAGCAUGUUGCUGGAUAUGUCACCAGCAGAUAUUAUGAAAAAUAUCCACAACUCACAUCUACUAAAGAGGAACAUACCAUGUGUUGGACAAAUUUUUUAUUAAAAAUUCCAAGUAAAAUGUUGUUAAAAGCUAUGCAAUUAUUAGAAACAUAUUUUACAAAACAACACGGAAAAAAUGUAUCCAAAAUACCUGGAGUCAUGAAAAGUAUAACCAACAUCACGAAAAAAAAAAUCCUCAGACUAUAAGUUGGACAUUCCUGAGGAGGGUUGAGUUGUAUGGUUUGAUUAGUGUAAAGAACAUGAAUAAAUCCAUAUUGUAUAAUAGGUUUGCACAAAAAACCAAACAAACUAAAAAAAAAUUACUGCCUAGAAUUUAUAAUACAUAAUUGUAUAAAGGAUUAUAAUAUUAUAGUACACUUAGAAAUUAUAAAAUAAAAAAUUUACAUACUAAAUAUCAUGACAAAGUAGAUAUUUGUUUUCUUCAUGAUCUUCCCAACAAUUGAUGUAAUCAAGAUUAUCUUUUAAAAUCAUUUAUAAUAAAUACUAUACUAUUAUAUUCAAAUUGUUAUUUAUAAUUUAUAUAACUACCUGGAAAUCAGGACUUUCGAUUUUUAUUCCUUCUACAGGGUACUUUCGGUUUAAUACAUCAAAAAGUUUAUCAAAUCGAUCAGUAAAGAGUUGUUUGAGAGCUAUUUUUUAAAGAUUCUACUUAUACAUUUCUUCGAUAAAAUUCUAAGCCUUUGGCCGUGGAUCGCUACAAAUCUGAAAUUAAUUAAUACAUGUAUUAUAUUAAACUUGUUUUUGAUCAUUGUUUUUUCAAAUUUUACCCGAGGAACCAAUUUGACAUUCAUUUUACUGAAACCA